rnacentral:rRNA from 1 species
UACGGGGGGAGCAAGCGUUGUUCGGAUUUACUGGGCGUAAAGGGCGCGUAGGCGGCGCAACAAGUCACUUGUGAAAUCUCCGGGCUUAACUCGGAGCGGCCAAGUGAUACUGUCGUGCUAGAGUGCGGAAGGGGCAACUGGAAUUCUCGGUGUAGCGGUGAAAUGCGUAGAUAUCGAGAGGAACACCUGCGGCGAAGGCGGGUUGCUGGGCUGAUACUGACGCUGAGGCGCGAAAGCCAGGGGAGCGAACGGG